AUUUACUUUUACAUAAUAUCCUGCACAAAUGUCCAGUACUACUUCAUGAUUCUCAAUGUGUUACAUGGCCAUAUAUGCAUGGACGAGAAGGUACAGGGUCUGGCCGAAAGAAACCACCAUAAUUUGUUUUUCAAUAUAUUUGUUCUGCCAAUGCUAUCAGCGACGCACAUUAAUUUGUGAACCGUGAAUUUUUAGUAGUGCCGUUGCAGGUAGUUAAGGUCGUAUAUGAUCCUGGAGACCUGGAGUGCGACGGGUACUGCUGGGCCCGCCUGCCUUGCUCUCACGGGUCGGUACCACGACGGCGGCAUCCAAUUCUUCUUCCCCGUAACCGCGCCCCCGCAACGGCUGGGGCCUCGACGGCCCCUGCCAACCCAACGACGCCGCCGUCCUCGCCGACGACCCGACCGCCUCCGCCUCCGUCUCCUCCCUCUCGGAGUGCGGCUCCCUCGUUCUCUCCACCCCCGACACCCCCCCCCCUCCCCCGCGUCAAGUCCAGGCUCUCCCAGCACACCUACUCCUGGCGGCGCCGCCAUGGCCUCCCCGUCGGAGUCGCUCGGCCGAUCGACCGUCCUUCCCGACCUGAUAGGCCUAUUUGUAGAUCUCGCCGAAGGAGGUACCCGCGCACAAGAGCUUGAGCCUGCCACUCAAUGUUUACAGACUUGGCGUGGGACACGGUGGCGCGUUUCACCCCUUACAUGAAGGCCGUUGGGGACGUGUUCUUCUCUGACUUUGCUCAGGUGGCCGAUGACGAGAGCCGGCACUUCGCCUGACGCUCGCAGAGGAGGCUAGAGGCCUCGAUGCUGGACCUAGGCUGGUGCAGAAUUUGGUGAGUUUUGGGCAUCAUAGGACAUUAAACAUUGUGGCAAAGAUUGCUGAGGAGGAAGUUCAACAUGUCACAGUUGGUCUGUACUGGUUCAUCCUGGUCUGUCAAAAGAUGGGUCGAAUUCCUUGUGCUACUUUUAAAGGAGUAUAACAUGGACGUGAAGGUCCCAUUCAACCAUUCAGCUCAUGAUUAAGCCGGAAUUCCCUGUGACUGGUUAUGAUGGUACGCUGAAAUGUGAGACCAUGAGUAAAAAUCUUUCAAAGGUAGAUCUAGGCAACUAGAAUAUCCAUCGUAUGUAUUCCGUGGUUGAUAAUUAUUUAUGCUCAAAGGAUAUGGUGGUUCUGUGACAGGUGGAUGAUAGGCUGGCUAUCAUUCAUUGCGAUGGGGACACGAACUUGAGUUUGAAUGAGUAGUCGCAUUUGCAUUUUAUAACUUGUAAAGUGCCAUAAAUUCAACUUUCAUUAUGCUAUAUUUUUCAAAACUCUCAGCAUGUGAUCAUUGUGAUGCAUGUGGUCUCCCACAGGCUUUUAACAAGAACUAUUCUGUUUUUUUUUUUUUUUUUUUGGCACAGUUAAAUUUAAUGCAUAUUUUGCAUUGAGGUAUGGUGGUAAUUGGUGAAUUAGUAUCAAGUAAACUAUCAGCACUUAUCAAAAAAAUUAAAAGAAAAGUAAACUAUCAGCGCAGGAUUAGUUGUGGGUUGUCAGAUAAACAUCCUUCACAGCCAUCAUCUUAUGGAGUAUUUGUGGGAACAAAUUUCUAUCGAAAUAAGAAAAUUGUAAGGAUUUGUUGUAAUAAAUUUCAGAAAAAACUAUUAAUCUUCAAUGACCUUUUCAUGCACUAUUUCCUGUACCAACUACCAAGGAAAAGCUAUUUUGUCUCCAAACGGGGAUGAAGGAUUGAAGGUGCCGUCUUGUCAAUAUAGCAAAUUUAUUAUCGCUCUUUAUUGAGAGAAGACACUCGUGGCGUGUUAAACUUGCACUGCAGCAGUUGGCUAAAGACAUAGUAAUGUAAUUGACUAAUGGAAAAUUUGGGCAUGCUUUCUUUAUGUUUUAAUAUAAUUUUUUUACACGGUGUCAUCUUGCGUCUGUUCUAACAGCCGCCCGUUUCCAUGCUGCUUCGGGCGCCUACUUUGUCGCCAACACCGUUUGACCUCGGCCUCUUGGGACGUAUCCUUGUGCUUAGGCAAAUGAGCAAUAAAAAACGCGUUUGUUUUCUCCGUCGCAAAAGAGGACCGGACGCAAGAUAAGAAGGCACAGGUAAGAGAAGCAGCUCGAGUCUGAAAGAAAAGAAACAAGAAGAAGAGGGUGGCUGAGAAGAGAACUUCUUUCGUCUGAGUAGCAGAGGAGAGGGUGGAAAACCUGCCCUGAGUUAUUGGAAUCGAGAAGAAACUUGCUUAAACAACAGCAAGAAGAGAGAGUUUUGAAGCUGAGGAAAGGAAAGGGAUAACACGGUAGAGGAGGAGAAAAUGUGCUGCGACGGCGAGUGCCGGCCGCUUGGAUGGCUGUUGGGACUCCCCUUCGCCUUCCUCUCCCUCCUCGUCUCCCUCAUCGGCGUCGCGGUCUGGAUCGUAGGGUUGCUGCUGUCGUGUAUAUGCCCGUGCUGCCUCUGUGUGACGAUAUUGGUGGAGCUGUCGAUCGAGCUUAUCAAAGCACCUCUUCACGUCAUGGAGUGGUUUACCUCCAAGAUACCUUGUUAGUUCUAGAUUGUUAUUUUUCUUUUUUCCCCUUCUCUUCGUGCAUUAGCCCCUUUGCUUGCUAUGGUUAAGAGGUAAUUGUAGGAUUUGUAAGCGAAAGAUUAUUGAAUGAGAUUGCUGUUCAGAGAGUCUAUCAGUCUAUGUUUGUGAUUUGGAAACCUGAUGUUUCUUAAUUUUAUUGUCGCAACUUCAUCAGUACAA